rnacentral:rRNA from 1 species
UGCGUAGGCGGUUUUGCAAGUCAGAAGUGAAAGGCUACGGCUCAACCGUGGUAAGCUUUUGAAACUGCAAGACUAGAGUGCAGGAGAGGAAAGUGGAAUUCCUAGUGUAGAGGUGAAAUUCGUAGAUAUUAGGAGGAACACCAGUGGCGAAGGCGACUUUCUGGACUGUAACUGACGCUGAGGCACGAAAGCGUGGGGAGCGAACA